ACGGCGAGUGAAGCGGCAACAGCUCAAAUUUGAAAGCUAGCCUUCGGGUUCGCAUUGUAAUUUGUAGAGGAUGAUUUGGGGAAGCCGCCUGUCUAAGUUCCUUGGAACAGGACGUCAUAGAGGGUGAGAAUCCCGUAUGUGACAGGAAAUGGCACCCUAUGUAAAUCUCCUUCGACGAGUCGAGUUGUUUGGGAAUGCAGCUCUAAAUGGGAGGUAAAUUUCUUCUAAAGCUAAAUAUUGGCGAGAGACCGAUAGCGCACAAGUAGAGUGAUCGAAAGAUGAAAAGCACUUUGGAAAGAGAGUUAAAAAGCACGUGAAAUUGUUGAAAGGGAAGCGCUUGCAAUCAGACUUGUUUAAACUGUUCGGCCGGUCUUCUGACCGGUUUACUCAGUUUGGACAGGCCAGCAUCAGUUUCGGCGGCCGGAUAAAGGCUCUGGGAAUGUGGCCUCCACUUCGGUGGAGGUGUUAUAGCCCAGGGUGUAAUACGGCCAGCCGGGACUGAGGUCCGCGCUUCGGCUAGGAUGCUGGCGUAAUGGUUGUAAGCGACCCGU
rnacentral:rRNA from 1 species